rnacentral:rRNA from 1 species
AGUGAACGCUGGCGGUAGGCCUAACACAUGCAAGUCGAACGGCAGCACAGUAAGAGCUUGCUCUUACGGGUGGCGAGUGGCGGACGGGUGAGGAAUACAUCGGAAUCUACUUUUUCGUGGGGGAUAACGUGGGGAAACUUACGCUAAUACCGCAUACGACCUACGGGUGAAAGCAGGGGAUCUUCGGACCUUGCGCGAUUGAAUGAGCCGAUGUCGGAUUAGCUAGUUGGCGGGGUAAAGGCCCACCAAGGCGACGAUCCGUAGCUGGUCUGAGAGGAUGAUCAGCCACACUGGAACUGAGACACGGUCCAGACUCCUACGGGAGGCAGCAGUGGGGAAUAUUGGACAAUGGGCGCAAGCCUGAUCCAGCCAUACCGCGUGAGUGAAGAAGGCCUUCGGGUUGUAAAGCCCUUUUGUUGGGAAAGAAAAGCAGCAGGUUAAUACCCCGCUGUUCUGACGGUACCCAAAGAAUAAGCACCGGCUAACUUCGUG